rnacentral:rRNA from 1 species
GAUGAACGCUGGCGGCGUGCCUAAUACAUGCAAGUCGAGCGAACAGACGAGGAGCUUGCUCCUCUGAUGUUAGCGGCGGACGGGUGAGUAACACGUGGAUAACCUACCUAUAAGACUGGGAUAACUUCGGGAAACCGGAGCUAAUACCGGAUAACAUGUUGAACCGCAUGGUUCAACAGUGAAAGACGGUCUUGCUGUCACUUAUAGAUGGAUCCGCGCCGCAUUAGCUAGUUGGUAAGGUAACGGCUUACCAAGGCAACGAUGCGUAGCCGACCUGAGAGAGUGAUCGGCCACACGGGAACUGAGACACGGUCCAGACUCCUACGGGAGGCAGCAGUAGGGAAUCUUCCGCAAUGGGCGAAAGCCUGACGGAGCAACGCCGCGUGAGUGAAGAAGGUCUUCGGAUCGUAAAACUCUGUUAUUAGGGAAGAACAAAUGUGUAAGUAACUAUGCACGGCUUGACGGUACCUAAUCAGAAAGCCACGGCUAACUACGUG